GAAAGUGGAUCGGAGCUGUAAUACUGGUGCCUGGAGAAGUGUUUUACUCGCUCUCACCUCAUCUCCAGCUCUCACUCUGAACUACCUGCUUCUGUUUCCUCAAGACCACCGUUCACAAAGGUGUGGUUUUGCUGCGGGUCAUUGUCACACUGACAUCGUGUCUGCAGGUCAAUUACUGGCUGCGGAGCUCCGUCAGAUGGUUGUAGCACAACUACAACCCCAAUCACUCAGAAACCCAGACGCUGAACAUCUGCUGAACAUCCUGCUGUACACUGGAAACCAGAUUUUUCUUUUUCAUCAAGAGCACCGCUUGGAGACAACGGAUAACUUUGUCAGGAAUCUGUAGAGCUGGAAUCACACAUGACUGUUGCUGGGGCUGUUGAAUGCAAUUGCAUGUGAAUGAAAGCAAACUGAGCAAUAUGGAUACAGUGUCUCUGAACACCUCCUUGUUCUCUGGCAGUCAGAGCAUCAGUAUGGAUUCUCCCAAUUUGUCCAUGAGAUCCGUAGGCUUCACCAAUGACACGGAUUCGUCCCGCAGCAGCACACUCUUACACUGGAACUUCUUCCUGGCCGCCAACUACAUCAGUGUGGGCAAUUGUCAGAGGCCCGUUGAAACGACAAGCGCGAAAGCAAACAAAAGCACAGGCUCCAUUCAUCAUCAUCACCUGCUGACAGAACAUCUCACUGCUACAGACUCCCUGCGGCCCGUAGGGCACUCAUGCAUCGAUCACUCACCAGGCUCCAGGACACUUCCUGUUUUGCAUUAUUAUUAUUUGAAAUAUUUCACUUUAUUACAAAAUGAAUAUGCAUAUUUCUGUCUUAAUUUCAUCUCUUUCAUGUGGCAUUGCUUGAUGGUAAAUCUUUGAGCCUUUGUUGCAACAGGAAACUGAAGGAAAAUGUUAACGCUUUCAUGUGUUCUUUUUAAGAUUCUGUUGGAAAUUCUGUUAAUAUUCUUAUUAUUAUCAAUCUUGUACAAUACUGUAAACUUCUCAAGUAUAUAUGUUUUUAAUUAUGCAAACCUCUGAACACCUACAGAAAAGUAGCCAGUUAGACUAAAGCUCUGCAUUUUUUAAGCUUUUACUAUUUUGUGUGCAAAAUGCAUCAAAGAACAUUCACACUAAAAGUAAUUUGCACUGAAAAGCAACCUAAAGUCAUUCAUUUUCAAUGACAGCUGGCAAUUUUAUGCAACAGGAGUGACAGAGAUGGUUGGAAUUGUUAUGUGAAUAUGCAACAAAAUGAUGAGGCUGUUACCUGCAGAAGUGAGGACAGUGUAGCUCAACAGCUGGAUGACCUGCAGCCCUGUAAUCACCGUCAGUGUGAGCGGACCUUCAGACGUUCAGAGGACGACGUGUGAGCUUGCCGUUUGAGGCUGAGACUGUUGUCAUCACUUCAAUCACAGUUCUUUUCAAGAGUCCAAAAUACAAUGCAUUUUAUUCACACCAAACUGAAGUUUCUUUCCAUUCACUGCUUGUAAAUGCUGUUGCUUUAUGAAUGCGAUAGUUAAUGUGUGUUUGUAGUUCGAGAAAAGCUCUUCGUUUGAUGUGCUCAGAGUCAUCUCAGAUGUGAUUCAGCACAGGAGACAUGAUCAGCUGCAGAUCAUGGAUAACACCACUGAGAAUAUGACUUAUCUCUUUCUUCCCUGGGGAAAGUGAUUUAGCUAAGUUUUUGCUCUUUUAUCCCCAAUUGUUUUGAAGAGCUUGAAACUCAGAGGAUGGGGAUAAUGCGCGUGUGAAUCGAAACCUCCUGCCGGGGGAUUAAAACUCACCGCGGGCCAUUUUUUGUGUGAAACUAGAGACAAAAAUAGACACAGAACCCACAAGAAGUAAAGGAUGAUUGUCACACUUUUCCAAUAUUGAAUGAGCUGCAUUGCUGUCUGUUGACCUUAGCCGUGCUCGGAGUAACACAUUACAAGUAACAUGAGUUAUAAUAAGCAAGCCCAGCUCAUGUGACAAAAAGUAAUGCAAAAGUAACGUAAUACAUUAUUUUCCAUAAAAAGUAAUUUCCCCAACACUGGACCUUAGUCAGGGUAGCGCCAUAUUUAAGCGUCAUAUCUAACCUAUAUAAGAUUAGAUAUAAGGUAAGACAACAGCCAAUGCCCGUUAUGCAAAUGAGCAGCAACAGCAGGGAUCUGUCUGAUACAGUGGUAAAAUAAAAACACCUAUUAGUGACCAACCGCACAGAGACUCUGCAACCUUAUUUAAAUUGCUUAAGGCAGCAUGCUGGAACAUACUCAGGCCCACAUGGAACUGGCUUCCGCAGAACCCCAAUUUAAAAAGCUAUCAUUCACAAAGCUCUACAAAUCCCCUGCCCUUUGUGUGUUCACUUAGUAAAUAUUUUAGUGUAAUAAUGCUUUUGGCAACCAAUACUUUCAGCUAAGCAUAGAAAAAGUUAGUAUAUUCUAUCUGGCCAUAUGUGAACAAUUUGUAAUGUGCUUUUCACUACUCCUGUAGUUAUAUUGCAGAAAGAAAAACUAUUUUUUUAUUGAGCAUUAAUGGAGCAGUACAUUUUGUGGCAAAGGAAUCAUAAAAUUAUUUUGUUUUAUUCUAGCUUCAUGCAUUCUCUUUUUAUCAACACUUGCAGGCAGGUUUCAUGAUAAAAAUGAAACAUUUUGAACAAAAAGCUGAGAAAAUCAGCUUUUGGUCUUUUAACCCAGACUCAAAGUAAAAGACUCACAGGCAUGGGGCAAAAGGCAUCCAGUACUGAUAUAAAUUAUUUUAGCUGAAGUAAUAUGUUGUGCAUGAUAUCUAAGUUAAUUUUUGUUCAAAACAAUCUCUUCUGCUAAGUUUGUUCCAUAAAUAACUUUAUUUAUUUAACUUUUUACUAUAUAUAUAAAUAAAUAAAAAUACAGUUUAAAAGCUGCAUUACAUAACUGUUUUUGGUUAAAAAUGAUCCAAAAUCAAUUAUUGAGCACAUACAUAAGUGUUCAACACUAUCUCUUUACCUAAGCCUGAUACACAAAGGUAUACAUAAAGGUAUACACAAAUAAUGUAUUCUAAUUUCAGUGCUUCGGGUCAUUCUGUUUGUGUCAUUACGUCACGCCUGUAUAUAUAUAUAUAUAUAUAUAUAUAUAUAUAUGCAGAAUGCAGCGCUCUGCUCAAAAACGCUGAUUUAUCAGGCAUUAUAUGCAAGAUAAAAUUAAAAUGACAUCGAAAUUUCUGAAGACCGUUGGUUCCUCUGAAAUACAGUGAUAUAAAA
rnacentral:lncRNA from 1 species